GAGUUACCGGUCGCCAUGGAUGCAAAAGCUGCAGUGUGCCAGUGCUAGGUCCCAGAUUCUUGUAGAAAUCUCAGUCUUGAUUGCAUCCAAAAGGGCUAAUAGAAGCUGAUGGCUCCUAUAUCAGGUUCAGACUGAUGUGUGCCGAGAGCGCCUUAGAGGAGUAAGAUAAUCUAGCAUCCUUUUGAUCUAGCUCUUAGUGUAGUCCCUUCUUAUUUUCUAUGUUUUGAUGAUCGAAUUAUUGACUCUUGAUGACUAGUUUGUUUAUUUGGAUUCCUUUUGGUUAGCAUGGUGCUUGGACACCGGGUUUGUGACCCCUUUAUCAUUUUUGGAUUUAUAGAUGUUUGAAUUGAUUUUGAUUUAGUUA